AUCCAAACAUCAUGUGGCAUUUAAUUGCUGGAUCCAUUUGUCACCAACUGUUAUUAAUAGCUUCUUCCCGAUCUCAGCUACCGAUCGUAGUUUCAGUAAUUGAUCCUUUAUUACGCCAGUUAACCGCCACCUGCCAAAAUUUGACUCGCCUCCUGCGGCUCUAUAUUCGCCAAUGCUUCAUGCCGUCGACCACCCAAAGGAGAAUAAACGAAGCCCUAGAUUCCUCCAGUCUCUAAAUAAUCCUCGUUUGCUAGCCUUUCACUCUCUGUUUCUGGGAUGGAUUUUCAAUUGGCUACGAAGGGGUUUAAUUUCUCUCGGAGAAGGAGGAAAUGGCUGAUUUUAUUGGCCGUUUCUGGUGUCUCUGGUUAUGGACUUUACAAGGUGUAUAAUAUGCCCUCCGUUAUGAAGAAAAGGAGGAGAUUGAUGAAACUUAUGGAAGCCCUAAUUUAUAUUGCUCAAAUGGUGUCCAAUUCUGCUGAGAUAAUUGACAUUGUUUUCAUGGACUUGAAGGAGUUUCUGCGGUCCGAUUCGGACGAAAUUCCUAGUAGUUUCAAACAAAUUUCUAAAAUUGCUAAAUCGGAUGAGUUCUGCCAGUCGUUGACUAGGAUGUCUCAGGCUUUGACAGUUGGGAUUGUGAGGGGCUAUAAAUCUGAGUCGGCAAAUGAUGAUCGAUUAGCUUCAGGCUCAACGAAUUCCAGUUUCGCUGAUAAGGCGAUGGAUAGGUUGUUUUCUGAUGCUGGGACUGGGUUUGCUUCUCUUGUUGUUGGUAGUUUUGCCAGGAAUUUGGUUUUGGGGUUUUAUUCUAAUGUUGGAGCUGGUGUGGAUAAUUGUGGCUCGAGCAUAUCGGAUAUACCUGGAUGGGUAAGCGUGGUUUGUGAUGAUCGGUGCAAGGAACUUAUAGCUGAGUGCAUACAGAAGUUUGUGAGCACAGCAGUUGCUGUUUACCUUGACAAGACAAUGGACAUUAACACAUAUGAUGAAUUGUUCGCUGGCUUGACAAAUCCCAAGCAUCAAAACAAUGUGAGAGACAUUCUGGUUUCUCUCUGUAAUGGUGCUAUAGAGACGCUUGUUAAAACAUCUCACCAUGUCUUGACAAAUUCAAAUGCGAGUCUGAAUUCAGGUACCAAUUCUGGUUCCGAAUGUUCAAUUGUUGAUCACAGCAGCGAAGGACCAAGAGCAACCAGAUAUGAUUAUAUCAAGCAAGAGGUAUGUUUGAAAGACGGAUAUUCACCUAAGAAUGGUGGAUGGGUUGGGAAAGUCUCAUCUACUUUGGCUGUGCCAAGCAAUUGGAAGUUUGUGCUUGAUGUGAGUAGGAGAGUGACUUUUAGAACAGUAAAGUCUAUUCUGGAGUUCUUGUUGUGGAAGAUAUCAGAUUGUUUGAAGAGAAGUAUUAAUGUAAUUGAUGAAGAGGUUAUAGAUAGGGGUCUAAAGGUUAACCAUGCUAAGGAACUUGGUGGACAGGUCAUUAUAGUGAUCUGCCGUUUAAACAUGUCAACACACAGAACCAGAGUAUUUCACAAUUUGAGACAAGGCAGUUCUUCAAACAUGUGUUAAGGAUUAAAGCUGAACAAAUUUUGAGAUUUGAAAGUGUUGCUGAUUGUUCUACACAUGUGAAUUGGCAAAAGGUUGCAAAUGUGAGAACUGCAAAUUCAUUUUUAAGAGCAUUUGAAGCAAAGUUUGACCUGCAUGUAUCUUCCUGGAAAGCUGGAGUUAUCCGUCACAUGUAAAAGUGGCCUGCUAUAAUGUCUCUAAGGCACACGUCUGCUUUUGUUGAAUAUGAAGCAUAAAUUUGUGCGCGUGUUGCUCCAGGUUAGUAAAGAAUGCCUCAUAUUGCCAAAAUUAUCUUUAGUUAAUACUGAAUUACACAUCUUUUAGAGUCUGUUCAGCAUUGAGAUUGGGAAUCACAAAAGUGCUUUUUCCGAAGAACAUUAUUUUAAAUGACGUUAAACAACAAAUUAUGGUCUGAAUUGUGCUACAUGUCCAACAUGUCUAGCUAUAUGGUGAACAAGAGCUUGUGAACAUAUAUAAAUCAUGGCAUGGUUGGUUUGCUGUCAAUCUUAUUGGAAGAAGACUUUUUUUUUUAAUCAGUGAAUAUAUGCAUCUCAAAUAAGCAGUAAACUAAAAGUCAUUAUGGGAAGAUAUUUGAUGUAUUGAUUUAAGAGAUUAUCAAUGAUUACAAUAUUUCACAGAGAGAGAUUUGAACAGACAUGUGAAUAGUAGCAACUAAGAUUUUGAACGGGUGCUUGAAGGGCCCAAUGUGAGAGUAGCAGCAACAAGAAAGGGAAUACAGUCCUAGAACUUGCUUUAGCUUAAGAUCUAGUUUUAACAAACGGGUUCUAAAAGAUAAAAAAUAAAGGAAUGACAUUAAUGCCUUUAAGAGGAAUGAUUGAGUGAUAAGUUGAUCCGUAUAAGAAUUAGUUUUUUAACUAUUGAUCAUGUAUUCCAUGCAUAAUCAAUGAUAAGUAAAAAUAUUUUUCUUUUACUAAAUACAUGUAUUCCAUGCAUAAUCAAUGACUAGAAAUAUAGUGUUCAUAUGAGGCCUCACCCAAAAAGUUUUCGAAUAUUAAUCUCUUAUGCACCUUUUCCAUUCUUUAGAAACCUUCUGAUUUUGUAGUAUUUUUCUAAACUGUCUUUUCCUUGUUUCUCAAUGGAAGAAUCAAUUAAUCGUAGCAAAUUUGUUGAUCGAGAUGCAAAUAGAA